UACGGAGGGUGCAAGCGUUAUCCGGAUUCACUGGGUUUAAAGGGUGCGUAGGCGGGUAUGUAAGUCAGUGGUGAAAUCCCCGAGCUUAACUUGGGAACUGCCAUUGAUACUAUAUAUCUUGAAUAUCGUGUAGGUAAGCGGAAUAUGUCAUGUAGCGGUGAAAUGCAUAGAUAUGACAUGGAACACCAAUUGCGAAGGCAGCUUACUUUACGAUGAUUGACGCUGAGGCACGAAAGCGUGGGUAGCGAAC
rnacentral:rRNA from 1 species